UGGGACCGGGUUCCGCGAAGCGCGGGAAAGAGCCUUGGGCUGUAGGCCUUGGGGUCUUCGGUGUUCUCGGGAGUCGGCUUUUGCCGCGACCCCUCAAACCGAGUGGGGCCGGAAGUGGUGCGACAGACUCCUCGGACCGAGGCGCGGCCUCAGGGCAAGCGCGACGACGAUGUGCGGGCGGACAUCCUGCCACCUGCCCAGGGAAGUGCUGGCCAGGGCCUGUGCCUACCGCGACCGCGGCGGCCUGCGGCGGCUCCCCGAAUGGAGACAGCCUGAGAAGUACCACCCUUCCUACAACCAGAGCCCGCAGAGCUGCAACCCGGUGCUGCUGUCGCGCCUGCACCUGGAAAAGGAUGCAGACUCAUCAGAACAGAUCAUUGCUCCCAUGAGAUGGGGCCUGGUCCCCUCUUGGUUCAAAGAAAGUGACCCUUCCAAGCUGCAAUUCAACACCAUCAACUGUCACAGUGAUACCAUCCUGGAGAAAUGGUCAUUCAAGCUAGGCAACAGUGGGACUGUGGACAAUACAGAGGACUGGGAAAAAGUCUGGGACCACUGGAGGCCACUGACAAUGGCGGGGAUCUUUGACUGCUGGGAGCCCCCCGAGGGAGGAGACCUGCUGUAUUCCUACACCAUCAUUACCGUGGAUUCCUGCAAAAGCUUGCAUGAUAUCCACCACAGGAUGCCUGCCAUCCUGGAUGGAGAGGAGGCCGUGUCCAGGUGGCUAGACUUUGGGGAUAUCCCUACUCAGGAGGCACUGAAGCUGAUUCGCCCCACAGAGAACAUCACCUUCCACGCUGUCUCCCCCAUUGUCAACAACUCGAGGAACAACAGCCCUGAGUGUCUGACUCCUGUCCACUUGGUGGUCAAGAAGGAGCCCAAGGCAAGUGGCAGCAGCCAAAAGAUGAUGCAGUGGCUAGCCACGAAGUCACCCAAAAAGGAAGACCAAGAGACACCCCAGAAGGACAAGUCCGACACACCCCAGUGGUCCAGCCAGUUCCUGCAGAAGAGCCCGCUGCCCGCCAAGAGAGGUGGUGCAGGCCUGCUGGUGCGAUGGCUGAAGCAGGAAAAGGAGGAGGUGCCCGCGGCCAAGCGGCCUCACAGGGUUUCUUUUGCGGGACAGAGGAUCAGAUGUUGAGAGUUUGGACAAACUCAUGAAAACGAAAAACAUACCUGAAGCUCAUCAAGAUGCAUUUAAAACUGGUUUUGCAGAGGGUUUUCUGAAAGCUCAAACAUUAACACAAAAAACCAAUGAUUCUUUAAGGCGAACUCGUUUAAUUCUUUUUGUUCUGCUUCUGUUUGGCAUUUAUGGACUCUUAAAAAAUCCAUUUUUAUCUGUCUGCUUCCGGACUACUACCGGGCUUGAUUCUGCAGUAGAUCCUGUUCAGAUGAAAAAUGUCACUUUUGAGCACGUUAAAGGAGUGGAGGAAGCUAAACAAGAAUUACAGGAAGUUGUUGAAUUUUUGAAAAACCCACAGAAAUUUAUUGUGCUUGGGGGAAAACUUCCAAAAGGAAUUCUUUUAGUGGGACCACCAGGAACAGGAAAGACACUUCUUGCCAGAGCUGUGGCAGGAGAAGCUGAUGUUCCUUUUUAAUAUGCUUCUGGAUCAGAAUUUGAUGAAAUGUUUGUGGGUGUGGGAGCCAGCCGAAUCAGAACUCUUUUUAGGGAAGCAAAAACAAAUGCUCCUUGUGUUAUAUUUAUUGAUGAAUUAGAUUCUGUUGGGGGAAAGAGAAUUGAGUCUCCAAUGCAUCCGUAUUCAAGGAAGACUAUAAAUCAACUUCUUGCUGAAAUGGAUGGUUUUAAGCCCAACGAAGGAGUAAUCAUUAUAGGAGCCACAAACUUUCCAGAAGCAUUAGACAACUGUUGAUCCAGAAAUCAUUGCUCGAGGAACUGUUGGGUUUUCUGGAGCAGAGUUGGAGAAUCUUGUGAACCAAGCCGCAUUAAAGGCAGCUGUUGAUGGAAAAGAAAUGGUUACCAUGAAGGAACUGGAGUUUUCCAAAGAUAAAAUUCUAAUGGGCCCUGAACGAAGAAGUGUGGAAAUUGAUAACAAAAACAAAACCAU